GGUAGAGUGGUCUAGUGGGUAAGGCACUAGAAUGGGAUUUGUGGGACCCAGGUUCUAUUCCUGGUUCUCCCA
rfam:Chelonia mydas contig226198, whole genome shotgun sequence.